rnacentral:rRNA from 1 species
AUUGAACGCUGGCGGCAGGCCUAACACAUGCAAGUCGAACGGUAACAGGAAGCAGCUUGCUGCUUUGCUGACGAGUGGCGGACGGGCGAGUAAUGUCUGGGAAACUGCCCGAUGGAGGGGGAUAACUACUGGAAACGGUAGCUAAUACCGCAUAACGUCGCAAGACCAAAGAGGGGGACCUUCGGGCCUCUUGCCAUCGGAUGUGCCCAGAUGGGAUUAGCUUGUUGGUGAGGUGACGGCUCACCAAGGCGACGAUCCCUAGCUGGUCUGAGAGGAUGACCAGCCACACUGGAACUGAGACACGGUCCAGACUCCUACGGGAGGCAGCAGUGGGGAAUAUUGCACAAUGGGCGCAAGCCUGAUGCAGCCAUGCCGCGUGUAUGAAGAAGGCCUUCGGGUUGUAAAGUACUUUCAGCGGGGAGGAAGGGGAUGUGGUUAAUAACCGCAUUCAUUGACGUUACCCGCAGAAGAAGCACCGGCUAACUCCGUGCCAGCAGCCGCAGUAACAC